rnacentral:tRNA from 1 species
GCCCUCGUAGCUCAAUUGGACAGAGCGUCUGCUUGCGGAGCAAAAGGUUGCAGAUUCGAGUUCUGCCGGGGGCACUA